UACGGAGGGGGCUAGCGUUGUUCGGAAUUACUGGGCGUAAAGGGCGCGCAGGCGGCUGCUCAAGUCAGGCGUGAAAGGCCUGGGCUCAACCCGGGAAUUGCGCUUGAGACUGGGCUGGCUUGAGUGCGGGAGAGGAUGGUGGAAUUCCUAGUGUAGAGGUGAAAUUCGUAGAUAUCGAGAGGAACACCGGUGGCGAAGGCGGCGAUCUGGACGAUGACUGACGCUGAGACGCGAAAGCGUGGGGAGCAAACAGG
rnacentral:rRNA from 1 species